rnacentral:rRNA from 1 species
UACGUAGGGGGCAAGCGUUGUUCGGAUUUACUGGGCGUAAAGAGCGCGCAGGCGGUCGUUCAAGUCGAGUGUGAAAGCCCCCGGCUCAACUGGGGAGGGUCACUCGAUACUGAUCGACUCGAAGGCAGGAGAGGGAAGCGGAAUUCCCGGUGUAGUGGUGAAAUGCGCAGAUAUCAGGAAGAACACCCGUGGCGAAGGCGGCUCUCUGGGACGGUACUGACGCUGAGACGCGAAAGCGUGGGGAGCAAACAGG